ACAUGAAGGCCUUUGGAAGCUGAGGUGCCACUGAGUGCUGCUGGCUCAGAGCAGGGCUGGCCAAGGGGCCUUCUCUGACAUCCCUUCUUCAUACAGGAAGAGAAACAUUUGUUCAUCUGAUGCUGCACCUGAAAUAAAGUUGCAUGGUCUGUUGAUAUUUUUAGUGCAGGUACGUGAUUUAAGGUUGAAGAGCAUUUUCCAACUAUUUGUCUUGUGCAUUACUGAAACAUAAAUGGUUGAAACAGCUUUCCAGUGACUGUCACACACUUCAGCUUGCCCAGAGGUGUCCUGACGUGUAAGGAGAGACGAGCAGGA